GCGCCUCGUGAAUUCAUCUCCGGGGGUAGAGCACUGUUUCGGCAAGGGGGUCAUCCCGACUUACCAACCCGAUGCAAACUGCGAAUACCGGAGAAUGUUAUCACGGGAGACACACGGCGGGUGCUAACGUCCGUCGUGAAGAGGGAAACAACCCAGACCGCCAGCUAAGGUCCCAAAGUCAUGGUUAAGUGGGAAACGAUGUGGGAAGGCCCAGACAGCCAGGAUGUUGGCUUAGAAGCAGCCAUCAUUUAAAGAAAGCGUAAUAGCUCACUGGUCGAGUCGGCCUGCGCGGAAGAUGUAACGGGGCUAAACCAUGCACCGAAGCUGCGGCAGCGACACUAUGUGUUGUUGGGUAGGGGAGCGUUCUGUAAGCCUGCGAAGGUGUGCUGUGAGGCAUGCUGGAGGUAUCAGAAGUGCGAAUGCUGACAUAAGUAACGAUAAAGCGGGUGAAAAGCCCGCUCGCCGGAAGACCAAGGGUUCCUGUCCAACGUUAAUCGGGGCAGGGUGAGUCGACCCCUAAGGCGAGGCCGAAAGGCGUAGUCGAUGGGAAACAGGUUAAUAUUCCUGUACUUGGUGUUACUGCGAAGGGGGGACGGAGAAGGCUAUGUUGGCCGGGCGACGGUUGUCCCGGUUUAAGCGUGUAGGCUGGUUUUCCAGGCAAAUCCGGAAAAUCAAGGCUGAGGCGUGAUGACGAGGCACUACGGUGCUGAAGCAACAAAUGCCCUGCUUCCAGGAAAAGCCUCUAAGCAUCAGGUAACAUCAAAUCGUACCCCAAACCGACACAGGUGGUCAGGUAGAGAAUACCAAGGCGCUUGAGAGAACUCGGGUGAAGGAACUAGGCAAAAUGGUGCCGUAACUUCGGGAGAAGGCACGCUGAUAUGUAGGUGAAGUCCCU
rnacentral:rRNA from 1 species